AGCGAACGCUGGCGGCAGGCCUAACACAUGCAAGUCGAACGAUCCUUCGGGAUAGUGGCGGACGGGUGAGUAACACGUGGGAACGUGCCUUUUGGUUCGGAACAACUCAGGGAAACUUGAGCUAAUACCGGAUGUGCCCUUCGGGGGAAAGAUUUAUCGCCAUUAGAGCGGCCCGCGUCUGAUUAGCUAGUUGGUGGGGUAAAGGCCUACCAAGGCGACGAUCAGUAGCUGGUCUGAGAGGACGAUCAGCCACAUUGGGACUGAGACACGGCCCAAACUCCUACGGGAGGCAGCAGUGGGGAGUCUUGCGCAAUGGGCGAAAGCCUGACGCAGCCAUGCCGCGUGAAUGAUGAAGGUCUUAGGAUUGUAAAAUUCUUUCACCGGGGACGAUAAUGACGGUACCCGGAGAAGAAGCCCCGGCUAACUUCGUGCCAGCCGCCGCUGUAA
rnacentral:rRNA from 1 species